UACGUAGGGUGCAAGCGUUGUCCGGAAUUAUUGGGCGUAAAGAGCUCGUAGGCGGUUUGUCGCGUCGAAUGUGAAAACCCGGGGCUCAACCCCGGGCCUGCAUUCGAUACGGGCAGGCUAGAGUUCGGUAGGGGAGAUCGGAAUUCCUGGUGUAGCGGUGAAAUGCGCAGAUAUCAGGAGGAACACCGGUGGCGAAGGCGGAUCUCUGGGCCGAUACUGACGCUGAGGAGCGAAAGCGUGGGGAGCGAACAGG
rnacentral:rRNA from 1 species